rnacentral:rRNA from 1 species
CAGUAGCCACGGUAAAACGAAGGGGGCUAGCGUUGCUCGGAAUUACUGGGCGUAAAGGGCGCGUAGGCGGCACUGUUAGUCAGGCGUGAAAUUCCCGGGCUCAACCUGGGGACUGCGCUUGAUACGGCAGAGCUUGAGGAUGGAAGAGGGUCGUGGAAUUCCCAGUGUAGCGGUGAAAUGCGUAGAGAUCGGGAGGAACAUCAGUGGCGAAGGCGGCCAUCUGGGACAACACUGACGCUGAAGCACGAAAGCGUGUGGAGCAAACAGGAUUAGAUACCCCUGUAGUCCCUGUCUCUUAUAA